UACGUAGGGGGCGAGCGUUGUCCGGAAUUAUUGGGCGUAAAGCGCGCGCAGGCGGUCCCUUAAGUCUGGUGUAUAAGUGCGGGGCUCAACCCCGUGAGGCACUGGAAACUGGGGGACUUGAGUGCGGGAGAGGAAAGCGGAAUUCCCGGUGUAGCGGUGAAAUGCGUAGAGAUCGGGAGGAACACCAGUGGCGAAGGCGGCUUUCUGGACCGUAACUGACGCUGAGGCGCGAAAGCGUGGGGAGCAAACAGG
rnacentral:rRNA from 2 species